UUUCCGUAGGUGAACCUGCGGAAGGACCAUUAUCGUACAAAAUGUGAGGGGCAUGCGAGGGCUGUCGCUGUCCCAAAAGUCGUGCACGCCCGAGUGUGUCCUCUUGCAUAAUAAUCCAUCUCACCCUUUGUGCAUCACCGCGUGGGCACCCUUCGGGAUCAUCUCGGAGGGGGGCUCGCGUUUUCACACAAACCCCCCCUUUUAAAAGUGUAGAAUGACCACAUUUAUGCAAUCAAUACAACUUUCAACAACGGAUCUCUUGGCUCUC
rnacentral:misc_RNA from 1 species